rnacentral:rRNA from 1 species
CGCGUGAGUGAAGAAGGCUUAGGGUUGUAAAGCUCUUUUGGCGGGGACGAUAAUGACGGUACCCGCAGAAUAAGCCCCGGCUAACUUCGUGCCAGCAGCCGCGGUAAUACGAAGGGGGCUAGCGUUGUUCGGAAUCACUGGGCGUAAAGCGCACGCAGGCGGAUUGAUAAGUCAGGGGUGAAAUCCCGGAGCUCAACUUCGGAAUUGCCUUUGAUACUGUCUAUCUUCGAGUUCGGGAGAGGUUGGCGGAAUUCCUAGUGUAGAGGUGAAAUUCGUAGAUAUUAGGAAGAACACCAGUGGCGAAGGCGGCCAACUGGCCCGAUACUGACGCUCAUGUGCGAAAGCGUGGGGACAAACAGGAUUAGAUACCCUGGUAGUCCACGCCGUAAACUAUGGAUGCUACCGNUGGGGACUUGCUCUUCAUGGCGCACUAACGUCUUA